UCCGAAUUGGUGUAGUGGCUAACAUUUGACGCUCUCAUAGAAGUGCCGUCAAGCCCGGGGUUCGAUUCCCCGAUUCGGAG
rnacentral:tRNA from 2 species